CUCUCUUUACUGCAGCUAGAGAUCCCAGCAUCCAACACUUUACUGCCACCCCGGUGCACCCCUGACUUGAAUUGCUAAGGACCAGGCUGGAAAUGGAAGGGAAAAAGAAGAUAAGUUACUGGCUCCACACUAGAACAAGGAUCCUGAUACAAAAGGUCUUCUGAAUCAGUGAAUCUCUUACUUUCUUCCCACAAAUGAUGGACGAUGUCCAAAAGAGUAUGUUGCUAUCCUGAGAAAACCCAUUGUUCCAUUUUCCUCCUAGUUCCCAUACUAGAGUGUAAACAAAGGAGAGUGACUCAUAUCAUAGCCUUAAAUUGUUUGCAAACUUUGGAACUUCAUCAGAAAUGGAAGAUCAGUAACUAAUCAGACUUCUUUUCUAGUAUAUCAGUAGUUCAGAAGUAUGGCUGGUCUUUAGGAUCCCCUCAGUGCUGUGAUUUACCAGCAUUAGGUAGGUGAGCUACCCUGAGGCAGUGACUAGUCAACAUUCAGACUCUCUAGAGUGAAUGCAUUUCAUAUUCCAAAUAAUUGAUGUAUAAAUUAACUUUUCUUUUCAGAUUUCCAGAAGCUGUAAUGUCAGUAACAAAGUAUCUCAAAACAAAACAAUAUCCACC
rnacentral:lncRNA from 1 species